ACCCUUCCCUGUUCCUUCUGCCCUUCCUCUUGGGGAGUUUAUCUGUCUCUGAUGAGAAACUCCCCAAGAGGAAGGGCAGAAGGAACAGGGAAGGGU